rnacentral:tRNA from 1 species
GGAGGGUUAGCCCAGUGGUAAGGCAUGUGCUUAGCACGCACGAGGUCCUGGGUUCAAUCCUCAGUACCUUCA